CCUAAGCGAAAAAAACUGGAAGUAUAAAGGAAAACUGGGUGUAGAUCAGCUCUCACACAAACUAAACAGUUGACGUUCCAUUGGAUUAGGGUGAUUUGCCUAGCCUAACUGUCUGGCAUUAUAAUUUUUGAAGAAAGAACAUCAUUUGGAGCUCUAAACAAUCUUUUAUUUUUUAUAGAAUAAGGUCCAGCAUUCAAUUAAAAUACUAUAGUCUAUUAAGACAACAGAAAAAUGACCAAAAAAUCACUUAAAAACAACAUAUGCUGAUCCAUGGAGGAUACUGAUACUACACAGAUAUUGGAUUUAUCACACACUUUAAAUACUAUAUUAAAUAACCAAAGAUGAUAACAAGAUGGAGACUGAAAUAGAGAAUUAAAAUCCAUGAAAAAGAAUAGAGAGAAAUUCUAGGACUGAAACAUAUAAUAAAUAAAACUUAAAUUCAAUAAUGAACCAGAAUGUAAUUUGUUAGAAAUAUCUAUAAUGACAGAAUGGCAAUCCUCAAGAAUACAAACAACACUAAAUGUUGGUGAGGAUAUGGAGAGACAGUACAUUCAAACGUGGCUGGUGGGACUACAAAUUGGUAUAACCACCAAUGGAAAGCAGUAUGGAGAGUCCUCAGAAAACUUGAAAUAGAACCACCAUUUGACCCAGUUAUCCCACUCCUUGGCAUAUACCCCAAAGACUUAAAAAUCAGCAUACUAUAGUACCAUGGCCACAUCAAUGUUCAUAGCAGCUCAAUUUACAAUAGCCAAGCUAUGGAACCAACCUAGAUUCCCUUCAACAGAUGCAUACAUAAAGAAAAUGUGGUAUAUAUACACAAUGGAAUAUUACUCAGCCUUAGGAAGAAUGAAAUUAUGAUAUUUGCUGGUAAAUGGAUGGAGCUGGAGAAUAUUAUGCUAAGUGAAAUAAGCCAAUCCUAAAAAAUCAAAGGCCAGAUGUUUUCUCUGAUAUGUGGAUACUAAUUCACAAUAAGGUAGAGGGGUGCUAGGGAAGAACAGAGGUACUUUUAAUUAGAGGGAAGUUAAGAGAGAGGAGGAAGGAUAGUAGAAUGAAUUGGACAUUCUUACUCUGUGCAUAUAUGAUUACACAACUGGUGUUAUUCUAUAUCAUGUACA
rnacentral:lncRNA from 1 species